CCGGAGCCACAGACACGCCCGGGGGGAGGGGUGGAGGCUGUACAUGGGUCCUCCUUCUGCCUAUCAUGCGCCACUUUAAGAUGGUGGACUAAGUGGAGAAACCAAAACAGUGUCUCUGAGCUUUUCCAACGGACGGAUUUACCGGAUUAUUAGAUGUGUCGCUUUUAACUCUUGAUGUGGAUACUGCUCUGGCUGAAGUUGCGCCUCUACGCACCAACAGAAGAAGUGCUUUUGAACUCAACAGACAAAAAUGCUUCCUGCGUCAUGGGAAAAUGGAAAAUACCAACAAGCUCAAUAUUUUCAACCUUCACAGUCCUCUGUGCAGCUCACCCAGACCUCAGUGGGUAGUUACCAAGGUGGGACCGCAAACAAUGCAACUUCAUUUGGACUAGUGAACAGAGGACUAAGCUCACAAGAAGCUGUUUUUAUCAAUAGAAAUGGAAUCUGGCAACAUGCAUAUACGAAAAGACAAGUUGGAAAUGGUCAUCUUGUAAAUAAUGCCACUGCUCAGGCUCAGGUUGCUACUUUGCAAUAUGGACAUCAAAACUCUGUGGAUAAUAUAUCAACCCAGAACCUUUCUGUCAUGAUGAGAACUAACUCUACAAACUGCCGCCAAGACGUGCCUGCACAUGUGCAUCAGAUGGCUUCGUUGUAUGGGAAACAAUUGCAGUGGGUGCAAAAUGGUAACCUAAUGUCCAGUAAUGACCAGCAGAAUAUGGUUCAGAGAAGCUUGCAUCAAAAUGUAAAAGGCAUAUCGACUGAGCCCUUUUUAGCACACAAAGGGAGGGUUACCUGCACAUCAUCACCAUCUGCAUCUGUGCAAAUAACUCAAAGUCUGAAUUACAGUCAGAGUGCCCAGCAAAGUACCUUAUCUUCCACUCCUCAAGUAAGACAUAAUAUUCAUCAGUUGUCCAUAAACAGGCCUGCUACCACAAAUUCCUUACCAAAUACGCACAAUUAUCACAACUCCAGCAAUAGUUACGUUAAUAGCGGAGGAGUGGCCACCUCCUCUAUUAACAUGAACUUGAAUAGUCAGAGUGCCCAGCAAGUAGGCAGUUUCCCCAUCCCACAACCAAACUAUAAUACUCCGCACCUGUCCGAAAAUGAGCCUGUUACUACAAACACUUUACCAAGCAAACAGAAUUGUCAGAAUUCUAGCAGAAGCUAUGUCUACGGUACUGGACUUGUUGCCUCAUCCAGUAGAACAAAUUCAAAUGGCAACCAGUAUGAAACUAACCAUUUAGCCAAUCUACUUGCUACAAGCCAGCACAUGCUCAGACAGCAGAGUACAAAUUCAGGAGAAAAUAUUUCACUCAAGGCUUCUUAUCGAACACUUAAUGGAUCACCUUAUGGCCGCUCGCAGUUUGUUUCCAAAGAAAUGAGGUUGGAAUCCAAUCAAACUAUGCAACCUGUGGCGAACUCUGCUGCUGGAAGUUGUAACUCAAAAUCCCUCAUUUUAGCAAUGCUUACUGAAGAGCCUUCGGCCAAAAACACCAGUAGCAUGCCAACAUUACAACUCAGCACAGAUACACUACCUCAACAAAGCUUUGCAUCAAAAGAUUUCAGCAUCACACCAACAGCUGGUGGAAGUGGAGAUACAUUAAAUAGAGACAGUAUUGAACUCAAAGCCCAAUUAUCUACAGAAAAGGAACGUGAAAUGCUUGUAGAGCUUGAGAUGUUAAUUCGUCUGUAUUCAAAUGACAACUCCAUUCACUCAUCUGGUCACACAGUCCCGAAAGCUGUUGCUGUUGUGCCACCACUGUCACAAAAGAACAUAGACACUGCCAGUGAGUGUACCUCCUCUAGCAAACAGUGUAGUCAGUACACAGAAGUGCAAAAAUCUUUACCUGAAGGUUUGAAAGAAGGAUCUCUGCAUUCAACAGAUAACGGUAAGACUUCUCCUAAAACUUCAGAUAGAUCCAGCAAACCUAGCAGUACUCCGGUAGCAUCCUCAGAACUACCUCAGUCUCAAAACACCAACCAAAAAGUGGUCAGUGUAAGUGACCAAGAACCUGAACUGUCUGUUAACAUGGAAAUGAACCAGCAUGUUGCACAAACUUGUCCGUCUGAAGUAUUAACUCAAAACAGUGCUAUGGAAAACGGUGAGACAGCAGCAGACCCAAAGCUCUGUGCUUAUGACCUUUCCUCAAUCCCAACAGUCCAAUGGACAGCUAUGAAUUUAGAUUAUUUCAUAGACCACUUAAUGCGCACUGAAAAUUCUAAGACAACACCCACCCCAUCUAAUAAUAAUGCAAAAAUUUUACAUAUGUUUUGGGAAGGCUCACUUCAAAAUGUAGCAGAUUUUUUUUUCAAGAGCUACAAGAACAUAAUUACUAGUAUUUAUGGAUUUUUUGGAACAUGUAUAAAAGCAAAUUCCGUUAUACUGUCAGAAGCAAAGGAUGGCUUUGUAAAAGUUCGUGAAAACUACCGUGUCCUCGAACAUGAUGAGGUUUAUGAAGGUGGGAUCCCUUACACAUCAUCAUGGUUGAAUAUUAAUGAGAAGCUAGAUGACAUUGAUAAAGAAUUUGGCUUCCCAUGGUCCUUGAGAACUCGUCGAUUUAGUGACAGUGUGUCACAGCAGGACUGUGACAACACAAAUGCAGAAAUUUUGAAUGAGGCACCUAACAAGUCAUUGUCCCAAAUGAAGUUUCAAACUGCUGAUUCACAUGAAGAAGAAUCCAACACUGAUGAAAUCUCCUCAAAACAAUGUGUGUCUCCCCCUGAAUCAUGUGCAGACAGCAGUGACCCACAUUAUACAUUUACAAUUCAAGUGUUACCUCCAGAAGAGGCCAAAAUUAUUUUUGAAAAAGAAAAGAUCCAGCUAAAAAAAGACAGUCUGCCACAGAAAACCACUGAGAGCAGCACAGAAGGUGACUCACCCAGCAUUGUGAAAAGCUCACAUAAAACCACUGAUGUCUCUCAAAUGCAACAGAUUUGCUGCUUAACAAAGUGGAUGGAAACCCUAAUGGGUGGGAGCAGUGAUUUAAUGAGUAAAUGCCAGUGUAAGGCAGACCCAGCUGAUAAAGACUGUACCGAGGGGAAAUUCACCUCUGCCAAACAAGCAGAGGUUGAGGAGAACAGUGACAAUAAUGUGACCUCUAGUUUGCCUGAGAUAGACAAAAGAUUUUUUUUUAAAUGGUGACUUCCUUGGAGCUGGUGACACACCUCAAGUACCUGAACCAUCCCAUGACAGCAUGGAUAGUAGCAACUCAAGCAUUAUUUUCAUAAGUGAGAACAAAGAUGAAGAGCAAGUCCUUAACCAGAUGCACAACCCAGAGGAGGAUUCUGAGCUAGCUCCGAUAGAGUCACCAGGAAGCAGUGAGUCCUGCACCUCAGAAGAAUUUGAAAAAGGAACUGAAAUAGCCACCAGUGAUGGUUCCUCUUCAGAGGUUGAUUGGGACUGGAUACAGCCUGAGCUGAAAUCCACAGACAUGCCAGAGCCACCAAUGGAAGAAAAAGGAGACACGCAAUCCCAUGCAAUAGCUGCUGUUCUAUCACCCAUCAGGCCCAGUAAAAGGAAAAAGGACAUGAGAACAGCAGAGCUGGUUCUGUUUGGCUCUACAUCCCAAGGAACACAUGGUUCAGUUGGCCAAUCACCAUCUUCAACUAUGCUGCUUAACGGAGCCCCAAGACCUCCUAAAAUGCUCUCUGUGGAUAUCAGACCCUUGAAGCCAACCACCAGUGAAACUAUCGGAAUGGACAACUACUCAGUCAAAAGACAGCUUUAUGAAAAAUGGAGGAGGAGUUUACCACCACUCACAAGUAGGCAUAACAAAGCUGGUGUACUCAAAAGUUGCCUGGGUAUCGUGCACGUUUCAUGAAAGCAAAAACGUCAAGUCCCACCUCCACUAAGGAUCGGUCACUCAUCUCGGAUGCGCAUACCAAGCAAUUUGUGGAUCAUAAGAGGAAGGGCUUCCAAAGUUUAAAAAAAAGAAGGAAAAGUCUACUCACUAAGCCUACAUUGUCUCAGAGCCAUGGUGUCGUGGAUCCCCAUGAGGAUAGUAUUUUGGGUUUCGAUGUGUUGCCCAAAACCUUCAGCUUCAAAGAUGGAUCCAACAAGAAGAGCAACACCACGGAUUCUGUAACAGACCAGAGUAUUCCCACUGAAGCAGACAAGGAGAGGUCCAGUAAAGCUGUGAAGAGGAAAAGAGGUACAUGGUAUUCCAAACCUGCAAAGAUGUAUUCUCCUCUUCGUCCAACUACUGUCCAAGCAACCAGCGAUGUCUUCCACGAGUUUCAGAAAAAAUACAUGGAGAAGACACAGACACCCACCGAUGCAUGACAUGAGAAAAGUUAUUGUUUAAUCUUAGUAUUUCGGUUACUUUCUUUGUAACUAAGGGGCAAAGUCACAUUGUCCUCAUUGUCUCAGUAUUGUUUAUGAGGUCAGGUCAUAUAAAUAUAACCACACUACAAGACUUGACAGUUUAACCAAAUUAUUUUACAUGUAACUGAGCUCUCAAAUAAACAGGGCAACUUCACAUUUUGUGAUAAAAUUACCUUUAUAUUUUUGUACUUUUUGUUUACAUUUUUACAAUUUUUGUAUCGUACCAGAAAUUUAUUUUUUUUUACAUUUUGUAUUUGACAGUCCUAAUAAAAGCAUAUGCCACUUGGA